GUGAAAUACCACUCUGGUCGUUUUGAGCGUCUAACCCGCACCCGUGUAUCCGGGUGGGGGACAGUGCCUGGUGGGUAGUUUAACUGGGGCGGUUGCCUCCUAAAGUGUAACGGAGGCGCCCAAAGGUUCCCUCAGCCUGGUUGGCAAUCAGGUGGCGAGUGCAAGGGCACAAGGGAGCUUGACUGUGAGACGGACGUGUCGAGCAGGUGCGAAAGCAGGGCCUAGUGAUCCGGCACCUACGUGUGGAAGUGGUGUCGCUCAACGGCUAAAAGGUACCCCGGGGAUAACAGGCUGAUCUUCCCCAAGAGUCCAUAUCGACGGGAUGGUUUGGCACCUCGAUGUCGGCUCGUCGCAUCCUGGGGCUGGAGUAGGUCCCAAGGGUUGGGCUGUUCGCCCAUUAAAGCGGCACGCGAGCUGGGUUUAGAACGUCGCGAGACAGUUCGGUCCCUAUCCGCUGCGCGCGUAGGAGAAUUGUGAGGGUCUGUCCCUAGUACGAGAGGACCGGGACGGACGGACCUCUGGUGUGCCAGUUGUCCCGCCAGGGGCACGGCUGGUUGGCUACGUUCGGUCGGGAUAACCGCUGAAAGCAUCUAAGCGGGAAGCCUUCCUCGAGAUGAGUUCUCCCACCCCUUUGUGGGUGUAAGGCCCCCGGUAGACGACCGGGUUGAUAGGCUGGAGAUGGAAGCGCGGUAACGUGUGGAGUCGACCGGUACUAAUAGGCCGAGUGGCUUGAACACAC
rnacentral:rRNA from 1 species